rnacentral:tRNA from 1 species
AUUUAAGUAGUUUUAUUUAAAAUAAAGAAUUGUGGUCUCUUAGAAACUAAUUAGUCUUAAAUC